AAAAGUGGAACGAAGAUCUGGAAAGAGGUAAUGGGAUACAAAAGAAAACAAUGAGAAAGUGGAAUGAGUGAUGAUCAACCCAUGUUAGUACAAUAAAGGAAAGUCAUAUCACCAGUGAUGGAAUGGUGGGUAAGACAAUGAUCCGGAGACCCUAGUAAAAGGUCACUCAUCUCUCAUACCUAAUACAUAUCAACCAUGGUCCAAGAAGCAUAGGAUACCAUAGAACUCUCACAUGAACCCUCAACACUCCAAAUGCAUAACAAGAGUGGCUCAAGGAGUGAAAACUCAUAUAAAAAUCUCACAAGAACCCACAGUGACAAAUAUACCCAGUAAACAGACCUCAAAAGGUGAUAUAAGUGCCCAAUGGAGCAAGAUACCAUACAUAAACAUGUCAUUGCGCUUUUUCUCUUUUUUUUCUUCUUUUUUUGUUUCUUUUUUUUUGUUUCUUUUUUUUCUUUUUUCCCUUUUUGUUUUUGUUUUUUUUUUUUGUUUUUUUUUUUUUUUUUUAGCGCAUGCUCUGAUCAUCAAUAAGUCAAACUCCAAUGGGAAAGAUACAAGAAAUGAAUAAACUCUCUCAAAUCACUGAUGAAUACAUGAACCCCAACCCAUGAGACAAUCUCUCAAACUAAAAUCUCCGAAUCAAUGCCAAAUGAUGGGAUGGAUGGAGUGAUAUGACUGCCCUCUUUGCACUAAGAUGUGAAGAAUCAUCAGCCCAAGAAAGAGAAGAGAUAAAAUGAAGCAAAUAAUGAUAAAAGCAAGAAAGAGAAUGGAAAUGUGAUGAUAGCAAAAUAGAACAAACAGGAUGAUAAGGAGAUGAUGACAAGAAUGAGAAGAUAGGCCUAUAAGUCUAAAGCUCAUGAGACUUUCAUAGCAAAGCAUGCAUAUACACCAAAGGGUCCCAACCCGGGUGUAGAAAUGGUAAUCAAGGCUAUAAAAAAGAAAUAAGGCUAUAACAUACCAUGUGAGGCUCAAUGGGCUAGCAAUGGUUUAUUAUAUCAAUAAAGAUGAUAAGGUGUAAGGCUAACCGAAAUGAUGGCCACCCAUCCUGCGACCAUGGUCUCAAAUGUGAUAUUUCUUCAACUAAUCCACAUUGGUGGGGUUUGAGAACUGGUAUCUAUCCAGAUAUGUCAAUCAUAUUUCCUCUCUGGGGUCAACUCUCUAAUGACAAGUGGUGUACUCUAAGUAAGUCCCUAGGGUCUCCUGGAAUAGAUGAAUCUCCAUGACCAUAACUGGGCUAAUAUCGUCCUCAAACAUAUCAUCAACAUAAGCGGGAUGCCCCAAUAUAAAUAAACUGAAUCUCUUCUAAACUCUCAACAAUGAAGAUCUCAAGCAUAUCAAGAGAGUGAACUAUCUCUGGCUAAUAUGUGCCAAGCAUCCAACUAUCAUCCAACACAUCCAUCUCAUGCUCGUCAUGAAGAAAAUCAUGUCAAUCAAAUCUCCCAUCUGAGAAAAACUAAAGUCCUCUACAAGAACUCUCAUCUGAUAAACUUUGAAUCAAUAUCCACUAAACUCAUCAUAUGUACGAAGUCACCCUCAACAAUGUCACUGGCUAACUGGGUGGUGGGGGUGGGUGGUAAUGAAUCAUACGACAUCUCAUCCUAAACUGGAUGCUAUCUAUCUCACUAUCCAUUAAUCCUCUAGCUCAAACCUGCUAAUGUCUCUUGAAUAGAGUCAUGGUGACUGUAAUUCGAUCAACUAUAACAUGCUGAAGAUCCAUACCUGAUUGCUUUGAAACCCUAAUCAAUUUAUCUCCAACUCUGAUCUAAGAAGUCAAAUCUGAACUGAAGCGAAUAACCCUCCUAUAAGGUACAAAGGCACGAAAAGAUAAAUGACAUGAAGGAAACUCAGAAAAGGUGGAGACACACUAAUCACUAAGCAAAAAGGUGGCCCAAUUGAAACUCAAAUAUGUACCAAUCUCUGAGCACACCAAAAGGAGACCAUGAGAGGAUAACUGAACCCAAUUGUGACCAAGGCAGCUCUGAAGUUCCACAGAUGCACCCACGUGUAGGAAUGAAAUCUUAAUUGGGUCUAGGCUAACCUACAAGGUUAAGGCAGCUCUAUAAGAUAAAAUGGGUGGGUCAAAGGAUCCCUAGUAGAAGCGAUCGUACCCUCCAGCAGUACGCAACCCUCUGCACACCUCCAAGGAGACGGGGUGCUUCCAUGCAAGGUGGUCAUCACCUCCACACAUGCACUUCCUCGCGUUCCCAGGGGGUUUCUUAAGGGUGAAGGCUCUCCCAUCUCUCAACACUCAGGGAUAAUCUAAAGUGCACAAUAAAGGAUGUGGGUGCAUCCGAAAAACCUAAGGUCUAAAGUGAGAGAGUGAACAAAGACAAGCGAUCAUACGAUCAUGCAAGAGAAAGGGUUGUCAUGCAACAAACAGUCAUACCAAGUAGAUGAAUAUCAUACAAUCAAAGUCCUAUCUAGCAUAUGUGAGAGUGAAUCAUGCUGAAGUGAGCAAACAAUCAAGUGACCAUCCAAGGCAAUCAAACAUGUCAAGAUAGUAGACCAAACAAGCAAAUCGAAUCACCUUGCCUAGGAAAAGGGGGUACCCUCUAAUCGACCAAUUAAACGCCACAUUUUCCUUAACUAGUGUUCAAGCUUGAUCCUCAAAAUCCCCCGUGGAGUCGCCAAUUUGUGGACCCGCAUUUUUCACGUGCGUCCCCACUCAAUCGGCGAGACUCGCUUUUUUUUAUUUGUGAAAAUUUUGAUUUUUGGAAAAAAAGUUGGAGUCGCCGCUUAUUUUAUUUUAUUUUUAAAAGGGAAAAUAAAACAAGAAAUAAAACCCUAAAAAAUGACUCCAUAAUUUUUGGAAAAGCGUGUCUUUGAAAAACCCGAGUCUAAGUUCGGGGAUCAGGUUACUUAUUGGGAAGGUACCUCUAGGAGGUAGCACCCCUCUAAGCCCUAAAAGGUCUCUACUAACUAAGUUGAGGGAAACGUGGCAAUUAAAUGGUUAAUCAUGGAUACUUAAGUGAGCUAGGGUGAUUUCAAAAAAUUGCAUGCUAAACAAGAUAAGAUCACAAUAAAGGAGAGUUAGGGUGCGUACCUGAACCGCUUCUUGAGCGCUAUUAUAAAACAUCAAUGCUUAGUUUAGAUGAUAUAUCUCACAAAGUGUUUUAUCCAAGCAAAUCAAGCAUAUAUCAAAACACCCAAGAAUCGCAUCAUGUAUGGAUAUAGUCAUCAGUAACAUAUGUGUCUAUAGAAUUCUCAAAAACAGGUGUGAAGGAGCGUACCUGGAUAGCAAGCUAAAACGCCUCUAUGGGAAACAAGAUUGCUUAAUGAUAGGUGCAAAAUAAUCUCACGUAUCUCAAAGAGAAAGCACAAUUAAUCAAAUGUCGGACAAACACUAUCGAAGAAGAUAUCAUGAAUGUCGGGCCCUCUCCAAAGCCCUAAUCAAUUUUGCAUGAGUUGAUUCUAUGAAUUCCAUUGUUUGGAAUCAUGAAAGUUAUUCAUGCUUGUUGAAAAUCGAGAAAAUCAUUAAAAUAGCUAAAAAUCAAAUAAAAUAGUGAAAACGCAUGCCGGAAGGAAAAUGACAGCAAAAGAUUUGUUGAAAUCUGGAUUUUAAACCUAGAAACUCCUAAAGGAGCUUAACGAAAACUAGAGUUAUUUUGACGGAAAAUGGUUUUGAAAUCUAAAUUUAAAAUGUAUAAGAUCACAAAAAGAAGAAAAAGAAACAUUAGAAAGAGUAUGAUGUGUGGCAAGGCGACCAAGCUGGAUUAGUGUCUAGGCUGCUUUUGAGAUGUCAGCCUUUGAAUGAACAGCUUCAACAGUAGCAGCAAACUUUCCCAGAUUUGAUGCACCAGAUCUCUUCACCAUUGGCAUGUCAUCUUGACAAAGCUGGCUAUAUAUUGCUAUUCUGAAGUAGAUGACGUAUUCUGGAAAACUGUGCUUGUCAACUGGAUUAAUUUCUCACGACAUUCAGAGGAACCACGUACUUCUUCAUUUGAACCUUCCCACCAAGCAUUUAAUUGAAUUCUGGAUUCUCAUAUUACCAAUAGGAUAAACAAACUAAUUCCUAUAGCUUCACUUACAAGAUCGUAAAUACCUUGCUGCCAUGUGUUCAAUAUUAGUCUUGUUUCUAUCUUUUAGAGCAUAUAUAUAAGGACAUGCUUUAGGAAGUCCUGCAUUAUUUGCAUUUCGCUUAGCUUCUUGCUCAGUAAUUCAAUCUGAAUAUGGGGUCGAGGCAUCUAGGAUGCAAAGAUGACUAUGGAUUGUGCAUUUGCUUGUUUGUCCUCUUAUCGUUUUCUGAAUCAAAUUAUCUGUUGUUGUGUCCCCUGAAGUUGUAGCCUCAUCCAACAAUCUCUCAAAAAGCAUAAACACCAGAUUCUACAGCUGUGCUGUUCUCAGAUUGCAUCAGCAAUACAAGGGGUUUUAUGCACUCAAAGGCCAUUGGUGAAGCUCGAAUUUUCGGAAUAUUUAAACAAAGCAAAGCAGAGUUGUGCAACAUUUCUCUUUUGAUCUGAGGAUGAAGUAGAAAAUGACAAAAUUUUGCAAAGACUCUCAAGGGGAUUCCCAUCCACGUCCGUCAUCAAAGAUGCUUUUUGAUGAAUUUCCCAUAGUCAACUUGAUUAAGACAACGAGAGUAGCCUGUUGCUCACUCUUCAUUUCACCGGGAGAAGUGUUAGGAUCUUCCAACUGAAUUCCUUUAUCAAGAAAACCUGAUUCAGCUUCUUAAGGGAUCUCAUCUUCAGAAUAAGGCGGAUCCGUAGAGUCAAAUCUCUCAGGACCUUUACUAGAACUGCCUGAUGUGAUAUGUUGCUCAAAUUCGGUAACUGAUACUUUCUCUGUAGCCAUGGUAGCCAACUAAUCAUUCUUACUACUGAGAUUUACCGGAAGAAUUAAAACUCUAGUGAGAGACGAACUGCUGGAAACUGAGCUACUGGGGACAGUCUCAUGAAAUUCCAACUGUCCCUUACGAACUGUUACAGGAUGAGACGCGCAGAACUCGGUUGCACCUCCAAGAUAAACCUUAUUAGAAACACCCCACUUUCUAGACCAUUACUAAUCUGAAUUGUCUCUUUAGCCACUGUUUCUCUUUCACCUUUCUUCUUAUCCUUAAGUCUAUUUUUGAAAGUUCAUGGGGAAUUCGUCUUCAUUUGGCUGUCCCAUUAUUCCACUCUGACCAGGAACCUGAAAAUCUGCCCUGCUAUCCAUUCUUACACGCAUGCUCAGGAGUGGCUUAGAGAUCCAUGCUGAGAAAUAGAAAGCUUCAAUUACGCCAAUGAAGAACAUGGAGCCAAUUAUAGAGGAGACAUUCUGGUGUCAGCACAGUACAGCAACCAGAGACAUUAGGCAGGUGGUGAUUGACAUUAUAAUUAUAACUGCCAAGCCAAAUACGUUACCUAAGCAGUUCAUGUUUCUAAAACCAAAAGCAACAGCCAAGCAUGACAGUACUAAGAUCCAGUUCCAAGUACUGAUCCAAAAGUAGUGACUUAUUGAUGCCGUUUCGAAUGUAUGGAACGCUCUCAAGAGAAAACUAUAUCCAUAGGUUAGGGUACCGAAACCUGUGCUAGGUGGUACUAUCAGCUUGGAGGAAGCCUUCUGUGGCUGCUUGAAUUCUUUCUACACCUUCCGGCUUUUCUGAACCUUUCCAAGACUAAGAACCUUUCCUUUCAAGCCCAAGGGUUCCCUUUGAAUUUCUCCUUUGCUUUUUCUAGGUGACAUGACUGGGACUUCAGAAUUGGAUUGAAUAAUAGAUGGGCACGUAGAAUGUGUAUUGAUACCAGCAUUUUUGUUCAAAGGGUCCUGCUCAUAUGAUUUCAGUUCUUUGUUUCCUGGAGCUAAGCAUGCAUCGACUACCUUCUAUCCAGGUUCUGGCCCAAAUGCCACGCUGCCUCUUGAAUUGAGCUUUGGUAAGAAGAUUCACAAUGCCAGAUUCAGUAGUAUUCCUCGCUGAGAAUUUUUGCCAGGUAGGAUCUGGACAUCAAGAGGACAUUGGUGUAAUCCAUGAAUUGAAUAUGACCGGGACAUUUGAAACAAAGUGAAGCUCUUUGUGGCGAGACUGAAUUUGGAUCCCUUAGUAUAGGGAUUCAGUGUGGAGAUUCGGCGUUGACUUUUCUGAAGACAAUGGACUGAUGAGCUCGAUGAAUUGGUUUUCAUAAGCAUUUGUAGAAUGGGAAUGUCUUCAGCUACAACCAUGGCUUGGGACUUGGCAAUAUCUAUUGGCGUGAUUGACCAUGAAUGUUUUAACUAGCAUAAGAAGUCCAAGACAGAUUCUUGAACAGCAUCACUUCCAGACUCAAACGCCCCUACCAAAUGGGGGGAAUGCACAAGGUAGUUGCUUCAGAAAUAUGGAGCUUAUAAAAAUUGGCAAAUAUUAUAUUUAUAGUUCUCAGGACCUCUUCGUUGAUGGUUGAUGUAGACCACAACUCCUCUAAUGCAGCUGUCAAUAAUCUGAUGAGCUCAUCUGACACGUAUUCUUGAAGCAUGUGAUUGGAAUAUAAAAAUUUGAUCAGCAAUGAUGCCUACGCAGCAACAUCUGAAUAAGGAGAAAGUAAUGGUUCUUGAACUACCGAUAUGCCACCUGCUUCAGCAAUAGCUCGAUUAAUAAUUCUACUGCACAUCGCAAAGUUCUGUAAUGCCCAAAUUGCCACCAUUUUAAUUUCUUCUGUCAGAUGAUCUUCAAGCAAGCUUAUCAGUGUACGACAUGCUGAUACAGAAUCAUCAAGGGCAAGAGUUGCGAGGGACCUAACAUAUUUUGGAUCUGUACUAAAACAAUAGCUGAAAGACUGUGUCAGAUGAUUUAACACCAAGUUGGACAGUUUGGCGUAUGUAUAUGUCUCGGGAGGCCUGAUCAAGGGUGGAUCAGGCAGCGGGACUCACGGGAGAUCCAAAUUCCUUCUAGAAAAGCCUCACCUCUUAGAGAACACAAAACACUGGUGAUAAUCUCAUAACACUGUUCAAGCUAAGCAAGUGCAUGUUCUCGAAUUUCUGCAUCAAGUCGCUCAUUGGAAGCAUCACUUACAGGGACGAGCUCGUGUCUUUUUGUAGUGGUAAGCGAACCACAACUUCAUGAAAUCUCAAGUCCUCAAACCUUUUGCAAACUGCUCACAAAUCUGCAGGUUCUGGAACUUUAUUCAAGAGAUUGAAGGCCUCUCUAGCAAGGUUUUCCUUCUCUUUGGUGUCAAAAGUUACAACAGCUCUCUCAAGAAACUCCACAGCUAAGUAAAGUUUGUGAUCAGUCUCCUUGUAAUAGCCUAGCAAACCCUCUCACAAUCUUGCGCUAAUAUCAUCAACAGUUUUCUUGUCAUUAGGACCAAUGUAAUACUCCAUUAAGGGAGAUAUUAACCUAGUAGCAAGCCGAUCAUCUUCCUCGGAACAAACAGGUUGGGGGAGUGUUAAUUGAACUAAUUCUUGUCGUAGAUUAACAUCGAAACCCUGAACCAAGCGUGUCGCAUGAUGCUGACAAAAAAGUUGGAGCAAAAAAUAGAGCUUCAACAGAUCUAAGAAAUAACUGCCUAAAACAUUCCAUGACCCUCACCUCCAUAGCAGUCACUUCUGCAGGACUGAAUGGGAGCCGCUGCCUUUUAUUUAACCUUCUUCCAUCUCCAGGUUCAAUACCCUGAGAGUAAGCACCAAAUAAGUUUCUAACCCUACUAUUGUCACUAGCACCCAAGUGUGAACCGUGGACUGAUCUCUUGUUGCAGGCACUCAGUGGGUUCCAGUAUAGAGAUGACCUGAUGCUCUUUUUCAAGUAUCCCGAUUCACCACAGGCCAUAAUUUCAUGAAACGUAGAAUCCAAAGAAAGUAACAGAACCACAUCUAGCCUUUGCUCAAAGAGAACCAACACUUCAUCAUAAAACCCAAUUGAUCCAAAACAGGAAGAUAAGGAAUUAAUCAAAUCAAAUCUCUGGACAUUUCUUCAAACACACCGUAAGCACCUCAAAUAGAUUCAAAUACCGUAUAGGAAGAGGGAUAGAGAACAAAUAAAAAAAAGAUGUAAAACCCGGAGAAGAAGAGAGUGUAAGACUUUGGUCAAUAAACAGAAAUAGCUCCACUUCAAAUAUUGAAUCCGUGGGCUAAGGACAGAGAGCAAAAUGCAGAAUGGGAUUUAAACAAAAAAGAACAUGAUAAAAUUCAGGCAUGGAGUCAUGAAUUUCAGACGACAUCAAUGACACAUAAGAGAAUCAGAAUCCAAAACAGGGCAAACAAGUGAGUAACCAAUCUCAACAAAUCAAUUUGUGGCCCUUUUCGUCCACACCAAUCAACAGUAUAUUAAAUAUUCAGAAACAAACGCACGGAGAAAUUGAAUAUGGGUAAGAAUUCCAAGAGUGGCGAGAAUCAUACCUGGGCAGCCUUGGUUGCAAUUGCUCUCUUCUCCAAUUCCUUUGUGCUUCUCCUCAAGACGAUCCCUGAAUCUCCUAUCUUCCAGCCCCCCAAAAAAAAUCCUCAAAUCUGCUCCCAAUCCUCCAACGCGUGCUCUGCCCCCAAGAAAAAUCCUCCUUUUCUCUUUUCCUUUUCUCACCUAUAUAUAUCACCCCUCAAGACCUAAAUUUCUUUCCAAAAAGGAAAAUUCUCCUAUUUCCUUUCUUCUUUUCUUCCUUUUUUAAAUCUUUCAAUCAAAAGCAAUCUUCUCAAUUUCAAAUUCCCCUCCAAAACCUUCCAAGGAGAGUCCCACCUUCCUUAAACUCCAAUGGUAAGUUUCCUUGCAAAAACAUGAAAUUCUUGAAGUUAAAUCAUUGAAUGAAUAAAUAAGCAAGUAAAUAAAUUAGGAAAUGGUAAAAAUAAAUAAAUAAAUAAAUAAAAAUAAAUAAUAAAUAAGUUAAGGAAAAUAAUAUAAAGAGGAAAAUAACUAAUAAAAAGUGAAUGAUAAUCAUAAAACUAAAACUAAAAUAAAAUAAAAUAAAAUAAAUAAAAUAAAAUAAAAAUAAACCAAUAAACAAAAAGUCGAGCCCAAAAGCCAUGUAACCAUGCAAGUCAUACAAGUCACGCUAAAAAUGUCCAAAUGGGCCAAGUGUAUCUAAAAGUUAUCCUAAAAAAAACAAGAAAAACCUAAGUCUAAAUUAGGGCUGCCAAGGGUCACAAUAAGGGGUUAGAUAAUCCUUCAACCAAAGUCUCCGAGGUGGCUCAAAAAAAGGUAAGUAGUAUGAGUAGUUAUGGGCCACCAAGGAACUAUUUUGAAGCACUAAAAACGAACUUAAAGUCAUGUGCUAAAGGGACAAAAUUGAGGGUCUACAAGAGGCUCGGCAGAAAUGAACAUAUCUCCCAUAGACUGCACCACGAUGACCUAGCCAUCAUGAAUAAACUUCACCUUCUAAUGAAGGGAAGAAGGAAUGGCCCUGGCUCUGUGGAUCCAAGGUCGGCCCAAAAUCAAGUUAAAUGAUGUAAGAAUCCUCAAAGCCUAGAAUACAGUAACGAAAGUGGCCGAACCUAUCAGCAACUCGAUCUCUAGAAUGCCUAUAACCUCCCUCCGAGUGCUGUCAUAAGCUCGAACUGUCUGAGUUUAGGGAUCAAAAUCAGAAGGUGCAUCGCCGAGGGCAAUGGCGGUGGCCAGAGAACAGACAUUCAGGGCCGAGCCAUUGUUCAGAACGACAGAUGGGACUUGGCUGCCCAAACAACCGACAGAUAUGUAGAGUGGACGUGUGUGGUCCGAACCCUCUGGUGGCAAGUCAUCAUCGGAGAAUACGAUGCAUGUGGCUCUGCCAGUCGUCAUCAUAUGAAUCAAUCCCUCAGGAGAGGUACUAGUCUUGACUCUAAUUUGGCUCAAGGCUAGAAUCAAUGCAUCUCGGUGAGUGCUCGAGGAUGCUAACAAGCUCCAGAUAGAGAUGUGAGCAUGUGUGCUCUGUAGCUGCCUCAGAAUCUCAUCCUCUCUCCUGACCUCUUCGAGAACAGAUGUACCCUCAACUGGUCUGGUUGUUGUGGGAGGCGGUUAUCGUAACACUCUACCUCCUCAGAGAAUAUACUGAACAUUUGGAGUCUGAAAAACAUCAAUAUGUGGAGCCUAAACCUCCUCAACAUCUGGGAUCAAGAUGAAUGGUGUCUAGACACUAUAAUGUGUGAAAGUCAGAGGCUCAAUAGUGGCAGUCUGUACUGAUGCUACCUUGGGAAAUAGUUGGAAUAGAGCGAGCAUCCGAGGCCCAAAGUCGCUCCGUCCAUCUCAUAAAUCCCAUCUGACACUACGGGCUCUGGCUUAGUGUCAUCCCAGCUCAACAUAUGGAUAUGAUCGUCAAGAUUAGAGAACUCCAGGAAAUGUAUGCCAUCGGUCGGUGGGGGGACCUCAUGUGUAGUGUGGGCACGUAAUAGGUUUGUGGUUACACUCGACUGACCCGAAUGUACCAAACCGUGGUCGAUCAAAUCCUGGAUGGCAUGUCUGAGAGCGGUACAGCGAUCGGUCUCAUGUCUAGGUCCUUAAUGGUAUGCAUAGUGCAGAUCCAUCCUGAACUAAGGUGGAAUCAACUGAGAUAGUGGCCUGGGAGUGAGAGCAGUCAAUAACCCAGCCUCUGUAAGCUUCUGAAGAGCCUGGCUCAACGGCAUGCCUAACUAUGAAAAUUAUCUCUGCUUCCUCAAAACAAAAGGAGCAGAGGUUUGUUGGGCUCUAGGCUUGGGAUGGGAAAAUGUAGGUCUCGUGGCGAACUGUGCCACAUAACAUGGUUGUCUUGUGGCCAAAUAUGAAACAGGAGGUCUCUCCGUGCCCUAGGUGGCAUAUUAAGGCAAAGCUAGUGUCUGAGGCAUGUAAGUCUAAUCAUAAGUUGAACGAAGUACCCGUGGCCUGUACUGAUGAGGUGGAUAUGAAGAAUGAGCCUCGGGAAGUUGUGGGACUAGCUGAUAACGCAUGGGAGGUCUUUGACUGGAAGAACUAAUGGCACUCACAUCCACUAACCUCUGUCCCCGGAAGGGCUUCUUCCCCUUAACAUCACUAGGAGAAGAAUUUGUCCACAAUCCUCUCAAGAUGCCAUCCUCGAUAUCAUACAAAGCCAAAACCAGAGAACCAAAAUCUAUGAAUGGUACCCCAACUACAUGCCUGGCAAUCCUGGGUUGUAAACUCCUCAGAACCAUCUGUAUCUAAUCCCUCUCUGAAGGCCUGUCAAUGAUCUCGACAAUCUUCCUGCACCAGCGGGAGAUGAAUGAUGAAAUAGACUCGUCUAUCCUCUGUCUGAAAGCCUCGAGCUCUCUUCCCGAUACAUCUACAACAGUGUUAAAUGAAAAUUGUCGUAAAAACUCCUAGGCCAAGUCGUCCCAUGUCCGAUGUCUCGAGGACUCUAAAGAAACAAACCAUCGUUGGGCCGCCCCACUCAGAGAUAGUGGGAAUAAAGUGAUCAUCUGGGACUUGUCCAAACCAUGGGCUCUCAUCACCGUGCUAUAGAGUCAAAGGAAGAUGUGAAUGCAACCAAUGCCCGUGUAUCUCUCUAUGUUAAGCAUCCUGAAAUUAACCGGUAAACUAGCCACCGGCAUACCCUCAAGAUCAUCCCAAACAGCUAAUCCAUUAGACACUCUCAACUGCCUCAUGCGCUACUCAAUAUGGUCCAUACGUGCAUGAGCAUCAUCAAUGAUUGUGGUCUGAACAAUUGUAGGUGAAGCAACCUCAGAAUGCCCAUGCAAUACAUAAGGUGGGGCCUCAGGCACUAUCGAAACAAGUGGUGGCGGUGGAGGUGGCAACGAAUCAUAAAGUGUCUCAUCCUGAACUAUAGGUGGUCUGCUCUGCUAGCUGCCCAUCUCCUGCCUGAGACUAGCCAAAGCCUUCUAGAUAGAAGCCAUGGCAGCCGUAAACUGAUCAACUAUGACGACUUGCUGAUCCAUACUCGAUCUCUCUGAAAACCGAACCAAUCUCCCCUCUACUCUUAUCCAAGAAAGUAAACCCAGGCUGAGAACAAAGAUCUGAUCCUGUAAAGCAUGAAGAAAUGAAUGAGGACAUGGCCUGGGGAAAGCAUGGAAGAAAUGAUGAUCUGAACAGAAACAAGCAAGAUAUCCAAGUGAAGGUGGACUGUCCGACCAUACUCAAACUCAUACUGAUCUCUCUGUACUCUCAACUGGAGACUAAAGAAGGAGUAUCGGAAUCCAAACUAUGACUACAGAGGCUCUGAAGGCCCUCAGAUGCACCCACGUGUAGGAAGGAGUCCUAAUCGAAGGAUUUACGGCUCAACCUACAAGGUCGAGGUGUCUUUAAAAUGAUAAGGGUGGACUUUAAAAGAUCCCUAGCAGAAACGAUCAUACCCUCCAGCGGUACGCAACCUUCUGCACGCCUCCGAAGAGACGGGGCGCUUCCAUGCAAGGUGGUCAUCACCUCCACACAUGCACUACCUCGACAUCCCAAGGGGUUUCCUAGGGUGAAACCUCUCAAACUCUCAACUCUCAAUAGUUAACUAGAGUGCACAGUUAGCGGUGUGGGUGCAUUCGAAAACCCUAGGAAGCUAAAGCGGAAAGAUGAAACACAUUGGCCACACAAAUAUCCAUGAAACCUAGGUCCGAGCUAUACAGGUCUUCAAUGAUCGGACUCCAAUCGACAUUAGUGUGUCGGACACCUCCUGAAUGCUCCUAAACAUCAGUAUAGCCCGUCGCUAGACCCUACUCCUAAUCUUUGGCUCAGUAAGAGAACAAGCACACAGAAGGCCUCACACUUGCAAUAGUGAGAACUGGAAUGAAGGGAAUGACUGAAACCAAGAGAGUUGGAGGUAAGGGGAUAGAUGUGCGACCCACAUGAACAAGCGCCAUGCAAUCAUGCAGAGGGAGGGCAGUCAUGCAACAUACAAUCAAGCAAAGGGAAGGCAGUCAUGCAACAUACAAUCAAGCAAAGUAUAGGUAUAUCACCAUGUCCACACACAAGAUAUGACAAUCAAGAUGAAUAGUGAUACAGAUGUCAUGCUCGAAGACGAUCAAGAUAAUAUACAGGCAUGAGAAUCAACCCAUCAAGUCAAAUGAUAUACAACAAUGAAUCUAUACAUGCGAGGUGAUCAAAACAAUCAUGGAAAAAUCAAAGUCGAUAUGAUAAGCAAGGUAAGAUAAUCAAUCAACAACAAUCCAACAUGUCAAUGUCUCAAACAAAUAUAGCAAUGAAGCAUAGAAAAAAACACGACAUUGAAAGCCCCAAUCAAGAUAAUCAAUCAUAUCAAUGUCCCAAUACAAUAUCCAAGCAUGCAUAAAAAACUCUCAAUGUGCAAUCAAGAGAUAGGCAUCCACUGAUCAACCAAUCAAAUGCCACAUUUGCUUCAUCCUAAGUUCAAGCUUAACCCUCCAAACUAUUCCCAGUGGAGUCACCAUUUUGUAGUCCCCGUAUUUCGGCUCAUGCGCUUCCACUCGAUGGCGAGCUCGAUUUUUAUUUGAAAAUGAUUUUAUUUAUUAAGAAAAUGAUAAAUAGUCACACUUAGGGUUUUUCUUUCUUAUUUUGUUUACCUUUUAAAAAUAAAACAAAAAUAAGUGGCGACUCCAAGUCAUUUUCUUAAUAAAUAAAAUUAUUUUCAAAUAAAAAUCAAGUUCGCCAUCGAGUGGAAGUGCAUGAGUCAAAAUGCGGGGUCCACAAUAUUAGAAUGUCCUAUAAGCCAAAUAUCAUUAAGUGAAAUUUCUCAAGUAUUUAAGACAUUUGAAUUCCUAUUAGUCGUUUAGUAUAGACUCAUCAUCAAACUCAACUAUUAUAGGUUUUUUAAAAUACCUAAUUUAUAUAUAUAUAUAUAUAUAUAUAUAUAUUCAUAUAUACAUAUAGAGAGAGAGAGAAAGAAAAAGAGAGAGAAAGAGAGAGUAGCUUGCAAGCUAACUAAGAGUUACAAUGAUGUUAUAAAACCUUCUUUUGUGUUUGAAACAAUCUCUUUUAUAGAAUUUAUUUUAUCAUAGUCUUUGUGAAACCGCUUUUAUUUUAUAUCUAUUAUCCACUAAAAUAACGAACUUGAUAACAUUAUUAUUGACGAACAAAAUCACGUACUUAAAAAUGGCUAAUUUUGAACUCUCCAAUAUACAAGAGAGGGUUUAACCAAUGAGGUGUGGCUAUUAUCUUUAGGUAUUCAUGAACCUCCUUUUACCUUAAUAUGAGUUUAUUGCUUCGAUGAAUUAGUUUGUUUGGGUAAGAAAUUUGAAUAUGAUCCUUAAUUUUUAUUAGACAUGCUUUUUUUUUCUUCUUUUAUUCAUCCCUUAACAAGUAAUGUUAGACAUUUCUCACAACUUUUACUUGCUAAAAAAUAUCAGGAAAAGAUGUUUUAGCUUGUAUAAGUUAUUUUGAAAAAAUAUAAUUGUAAACAUCUUUACUUACUUUAUUUUGAUUUCGACUCAAGAUAUCCACCUUCAAAAGAUAUGUAAAAUUUAGUAUUGUACGUCUAGGGGUGUACUGCUUUCAAUUAUUUUCAUAUGUUUUUAUUUAUUUUUAUUUUUUAUUAUUUAUUUAAUUUUUUUAUUAUGGUAAACAAAAAAUUCUAACUUUAUAUAUAUAUUUGUAUAAUAUUUUGCAUACACACUUGUGCAAACCAAGCGCAAACAUGGUGGUGUCUACUUAUAUUCAAGAACAUCUAAGGUUGGAAACUUAUCCAAAACUAACCAAGUUCAAAACAAUGUAACUAGUGUACAGAGUUACAAUGUUGCAGUGUGAUUACUACUCAAAAAGUGUUAUUUGAUAGCUUGUAAUUAACUCUUUUAAACACUUUUGAGUAGUAGUUAUCACCUUUUAACCCAAUCAACAUAUUAAGGACCCUUGCAAUCAAUUCUAAUCAAAUUGUGUUAAGUUUUGGUGUUUUGAUAGCUUUUUGAUCACCAAAGCAAUCCGAGAUUGAGGAGAGUUCUUUGGAAUCCAUGGCAAAGCAAUGGAAAGCUCAGAAACAUGAAUAACCGAAGCUUUGAAGUCCUUUUCCAUAAGCAAAUCCGGAAUGCAAGGAGUAUGGGCGUCCGGACACACCAUCGGAGGACGGCGGAACGUGGGCUGUGGUAGGCUGUCGGAAUGACGUAGCAAGGCUUGUGCACUUUAGUUAAUGAUCCGGACAACAUAUCCGGAUAGGAUAUGCUAUCGUCCGGGUGUGAUGAUCAUGAGUGUCGUGUGCUUCUCCCUGAGGGAGUCCGGAUAGGGGAGUGCGCCACGUGUCCUCUUGAGGAAUCCGGAUGAAAUUGCUCCGGAAAGCGAUGCGCACUCCGUGUCAUCAAGGGGAGGGGUCCCUACACCAUGCACACGUAGACGGUCCCCCUUGCGACGUUCCACCUUCUCCGGAUUUCUCACAUUCGGAAUUCUGUCCAGGUGACGUUCCACCUUCUCCGGAUAUUUCAUAUCCGGUGCCUGACGCCAGAUGGGAGAGGAGGGCAUUUCAACUUCCCCGGUCAGACAUAUCCGGAUCCUCUGAUAGCGCUUACCCGGAGAGUUUUGCAGCCAUUUUGCACAGUGCCGCAGUUUUCUCCUAAAGCUUCCCGAUAUGUGCGACCGACAUUUUGAGAUAUUUUUCUUUAGAUAUUUGAUGUCUAAAUCCCCAAAGUCUCCUUGUAAACCACCUAUCAUAGGAUUCCUUAGUCUUUAAGCAAGAACAAAGGGUGAAUAACCUCUUAUAUAUAGAAUCAUGUAAUCGGUGGAAAAGAUAAUAAUCGAAUCUCGGGAGCUUGUUCUUGGAGACAACCUUUUGUAUAAGGAAGAAAUAUAUUUUACAGAGCACUUGCUCUGUUUUUCCUAUAUAUUUUUGUUUUCUCGUUAGUUUUCUUUCUAGCCAAUCAAACUCUGAGGAUUUUUCCUCAAAGGAUGAGAGGCUAGGCUCUUCGUCUCUUGGAGUGAAGAAAUCUGGGUGAGUUUCCUCAUGCAUAAAUUGGAAGUUUUGUUGUUUUAGUGCUUAAUGAAGAGAAAGUGUGACCCGUUAAUGGUUUUUAUCUUUUUAGUUAACUUAAAACACCUUUAAAUCACCUAGGCCAACACUUGGUAAGGCAAGUAGUCUCCAUCCAUUGAGAUACACUAGUUUAUCUCUUGCGAGCCUUUGGGAGGUGGUUUGAAGGUAGGAUUUUCUAGAAUAGCCAACACUUGGUAAGCUUUUGGACUCUAAGGAGACAUCCAUUAGUUAUCUCUUGCGAGCUUUUGACGGGUAAUCCAAGGUUAAAGAUCACCUUGAAUGGCAAAUGCUAGGUGAGAGGCACGAGCCAUUGCAAGAUGCAUCAGUGAAAGGGAUUUAGUGUUUGAACCCAUUAAGGGGAAGCAUCUGUAUCACACCGGUUAGAGAAUUAACUAUAUGUUAAUUCUCUAAUGCGAGGAAAAGAAACAAGUGACCGGAACUCUUUUUUUUU
rnacentral:lncRNA from 1 species